rnacentral:rRNA from 1 species
UACGGGGGGUGCGAACGUUGUUCGGAAUCACUGGGCGUAAAGAGCGCGUAGGCGGCCUUGUAAGCGGGGUGUGAAAUCCCCCGGCUCAACCGGGGAACUGCAUCCCAGACUGCAGGGCUUGAGGGCAGCAGAGGAAACGGGAAUUCCCGGUGUAGCGGUGAAAUGCGUAGAGAUCAGGCGGAACACCCGUGGCGAAGGCGGCCAGCUGGGCCGUCCCUGACGCUGAGGCGCGAAGGCGUGGGGAGCGAACGGG